UGGGGAAUUUUGGACAAUGGGCGAAAGCCUGAUCCAGCAAUGCCGCGUGUGUGAAGAAGGCCUUCGGGUUGUAAAGCACUUUUGUCCGGAAAGAAAUCCUUGGCUCUAAUACAGUCGGGGGAUGACGGUACCGGAAGAAUAAGCACCGGCUAACUACGUGCCAGCAGCCGCGGUAAUACGUAGGGUGCAAGCGUUAAUCGGAAUUACUGGGCGUAAAGCGUGCGCAGGCGGUUUGCUAAGACCGAUGUGAAAUCCCCGGGCUCAACCUGGGAACUGCAUUGGUGACUGGCAGGCUAGAGUAUGGCAGAGGGGGGUAGAAUUCCACGUGUAGCAGUGAAAUGCGUAGAGAUGUGGAGGAAUACCGAUGGCGAAGGCAGCCCCCUGGGCCAAUACUGACGCUCAUGCACGAAAGCGUGGGGAGCAAAACAGGAUUAGAUACCCUGGUAGUCCACGCCCUAAAACGAUGUCAACUAGUUGUUGGGGAUUCAUUUCCUUAGUAACGUAGCUAACGCGUGAAGUUGACCGCCUGGGGGAGUACGGUCGCAAGAUUAAAACUCAAAGGAAUUGACGGGGU
rnacentral:rRNA from 1 species